rnacentral:piRNA from 1 species
UGGAUUCUGUUUACAAGGUGCACAAGUCACU